rnacentral:rRNA from 1 species
UACUCCUACGGGAGGCAGCAGUAGGGAAUCUUCCACAAUGGACGCAAGUCUGAUGGAGCAACGCCGCGUGAGUGAAGAAGGUUUUCGGAUCGUAAAGCUCUGUUGUUGGUGAAGAAGGACAAGGGUAGUAACUGAUUCUUAUUGACGGUAAUCAACC